UGUAUUCACUACUGUAAGUCGCUCUGGAUAAGAGUGUCUGCUAAAUGACUGAAA
rfam:Salmo salar isolate Sally breed double haploid chromosome ssa09, whole genome shotgun sequence.